UUAAUUGAAACCAAAAAGAGGUAUGUUACUGUUAAUGACACUAUUGAAUUUAAAAUUCCAAUUAAA
rnacentral:tRNA from 1 species